UGGUCUAGGCUUCGUAUUUGGUUUUGUCUGGUGUUUAACUCAUAUCGUUUGUUCUGGUUUGCUGCGUUUGGGUUUGCUUCGGUUAAUAAAUUUGGUAUCAGCCCAUAAAGAAUGUUUGAUUAUGUAACCAAACUCUGCGUUUUGUCUUUCAACAGGUAAGAAUUUUUUUUUCAACCUGGCCGUCUCCUCCACAAAGCUUAAUCUGCAGACACAAAAAAAAAAUUCCGACUCUUUACCUCCCCUAACGUUUAACGACAUUCAAUAUAUUCUUCUUAAUUUGGCCAAUUAAAGUGAUUCCCAUUUAGCCCAAUAACAAAGUCGACCUCUCCGUUUCCUUCGUGUGAUCUAUAAAUUGGAGAGGAUUGGGAGUCGGAUGAAUCUUCACAAUCGCUUUAAACUAAUCUUCUAUAUCAAGCAUAGAAAUGCUUCUUUUGUGGUCAAAUGUGUCACAUGGCUUCAGACUGUGAAGGAAUCAAAGCAAAGAAGAGGCAGGAGAAUAUGAUGAGAAGGGCGAUGGUUUUGUCAAAAAGCCAUAUCAGCGUUUUCUGCAUGUAAAUGAGGACUUCUAACUCAAGGUAUUCUCAUGUCAAUUCUCAGUACUCUCCAGUUUGAUUUCUGUAAUAGUUCCUUUCCAUUACCGAGGCAUCCCUUCCACAAACAAGGCUUGGGAGUAGGAAGGUCAGCUAUCCUUCAAGUGUGGACUUAUUUGUACACCCGAGGUUGUGCUGCAAACAAUGAGCUUGAGUCUCUGAAACCGGAAUUCAGACAGGAGAGUGGAUGAACUGAACACAGCCCACAAUGAAUCCUUUUGUGUUGGAAGUGGUUUCCCGGUGGUAUCGUAUAGUUCAGAUUAUGUUGAAUGUCAUCCUGUCCACAGAACUUCAUACUCCAGACCUGAUAUUGUCAAGUCGUUAAGACCGACAGCAUCUCAAGCAACGUAUGACGCUAAUCUUACUUCAUCGUCAAACCUUACACCUGUUCAUCAGUAUUUCUAGAAGCUGGUUUGUUCUUGGAGCCAGCUGGUCUACCUUUGGCCUCUUAGUCAUAUCGCUUUUGAUUGAAGAAACCAGUUAGAUCGCUUGGUCAAUACUUUCAAAUCGCUGUUUUUUUCUUUUCCUUUCCGUUUUUUCGUUAUUGCUUCUCUCUCUGCUUGCUUAUUGGUUCCUCAUUGCAAGUAGUGCCUUAGAUCCUACAGAGGUUGAGUUCAAUCUGUACCUCCUGCUAUGGCUUCCACUGAGAUUUUGUGGGGAGUUUAUGGUUUUAAGAAAGAGAUAAUGUGAACUGUUGGAGGUGGUUAAGUUGUUCUCAAAAUUAUGAUUAAUAAUUAACAAAUCAUUUUGCCCAUAUAGGUUUUUGGCAGCCUAUUUCUCAACAGAUGAUUCAUGCCAAAUGUCUUCUUUAGGUAGAUUACUAAUAAUGUUUUAACUAUUAAACAAGAAAUUUCUUUGCCAAAAAUUGAACUAUACACAAUUUCAUAUGAGCAUAUAAUAUGCUUAUUUUGCAGACGUGUUACAAAGUGUACUAUAUUUUCUUUUUUGCUUAAAAGUGUCCUCUUACCAUGCAACAGAUUGCCGGUUAGAAAAACAUGUUAACAAUAUUUUCCACAAACCAAAUUUCAAUUAAAAAUAAUAUAUCUUCCAUCUGCAUUUACUCUUAGAUACACUGUAAAGUAGUUUAUAAAUCAACACAUACUAGAAAUAAUAGUUAUUCAGAAUCAACAUAUUUUGUUUCAAAUUUGAACUAAAAGUCUUAACUUUAACUUAUUGUUCAUUGUUUUCAAAACAACUACUAAAUUUUAAUUCAUAUAAUUUUCAUCGAAAUCUAUCGGCAGAAGAGUAAAUGCAAGUCAGACUGAUGAAAACAUAACUUUAUUAGAUUAUAUAAUUCACUGAAGACUUCUGAUUCUUUUGUUUAAAAAUAUUGAUUUUUGACUUAUCUUGUAAAAUAAAAUUUAUUUCUUAAAUUAAAUCAAACGAAAAGACUCAUAAAUAUACAAAAGGAAUUAAGAUAAAAAAUCAAUAAAUUCAGUAAUUGAUCAACUCUAAAAUAGAAAAACAUGACCUUCACAAAGCAUCCACCACAACAACAUAAUAAACCUCACAGAUAUUAACCCAAUCUUAGCCCUCUAAAUAUACAAGUAUCGACUAAGCAACUGAACAAGUUAAACAACAACUUCACAAACAGAGUUUCUUCUUCACUCUUUGAGAGAUAUACAACCCCGCGCUUGCGCGGGGGCUCGCCCCUAGUUAGAUUAGAGCUGGAGAGACGUUUUCUCACGCUACUUAGAUCAUUCUUCGAAACUAGUUAUUGUUAUUGUUGGUUUUGUUUCGGAGCUUGAGAAUACUCUUCUCUCUCUAGAAGAACAAACACCAACGAGAGAGUCAAGAGAGAAGUGUGUGCCUGUGUACAUACAAAAUGAUACACAAGUGAGAAACAAGUAUGCGAGUGAGUGAACAAAACAGAGUGAGAAAGAGAGCUGGCCAAGAGUACAAGCUCAAGAAGAGAAAUGUCAACAAAGGAAAUGAGAAUGCGUCUGAAUUUUUACAUGGUUUAGUCAUCCAUUGUUGUCUAGUUUAAUCCGGUUAUCUAACCGGUUUAUGCUGAUUGAUCACUUGUAACCUUCCGACCGUUUUAAUAUGGAUAUUUUCAUAUUAUGUAACAGAACCAAAGACGUGGAAGAGUCAAAAGAUUACACAACGAAUACAAUGGAACUUUCGUUUU